CGCCCUUCAGAGGGGGGAAACAGUUGGAAACGACUGCUAAUACCGCAUACGAUCCAAUCUCGGCAUCGAGACUGGAUGAAAGGUGGCCUCUAUUUAUAAGCUAUCACUGAAGGAGGGGAUUGCGUCUGAUUAGCUAGUUGGAGGGGUAACGGCCCACCAAGGCGAUGAUCAGUAGCCGGUCUGAGAGGAUGAACGGCCACAUUGGGACUGAGACACGGCCCAG
rnacentral:rRNA from 1 species